AAUCAACGCUGGCGGCGUGCCUCAGACAUGCAAGUCGAACGCGAAAGUUCCCUUCGGGGAGCGAGUAGAGUGGCGCACGGGUGAGUAACACGUGGAUAAUUUACCUUCGGGUGGGGAAGUAACAACCGGAAACGGUUGCUAAUACCGCAUAAUGCAGCGGCAUCUAUGAUGACAGUUGUUAAAGCGGGGAGUCGCAAGACCUCGCGCCUGAAGAGAAGUCCGCGGCAGAUAGCUAGUUGGUAGGGUAAUGGCCUACCAAGGCGACGAUCUGUAGCCGGCCUGAGAGGGCGGUCGGCCACACUGACACUGACAUACGGGUCAGACUCCUAC
rnacentral:rRNA from 1 species